GACAGAGGCCCCAAGCGUUAGGCGGAAUCACUGGGCUUAAAGCGUGUGUAGGCGGAUCGUUAAGUGUCUUGUGAAAUCCCACGGCUCACCCGUGGAACUGCUGGGCAUACUGGCGAUCUUGGGCCAACUAGGGGCAGCCGGAACAAGCGGUGGAGCGGUGAAAUGCGUAGAUAUCGCUUGGAACGCCGAAGGUGAAAACAGCUCGCUGGGGGCCUGCUGACGCUGAGACACGAAAGCCAGGGGAGCGAACGGG
rnacentral:rRNA from 1 species